GAUGAACGCUAGCUACAGGCUUAACACAUGCAAGUCGAGGGACCGGCGCACGGGUGAGUAACACGUAUCCAACCUGCCCUUUACUCGGGGAUAGCCUUUCGAAAGAAAGAUUAAUACCCGACGUAAAGAAGGGGGAUGUGUUCCAUUAGGUUGUUGGGGAGGUAACGGCUCCCCACGCCUUCGAUGGUUAGGGGUUCGGAGUGGAGGGCUCCCCACAUUGGAACUGCGACACGACCGAAAAUCGUACGGGAGGCAGCAGUGAGGAAGAUUAGUGAAUGGGCGUUAGACUGAAGCAGCCAAGUAGCGUGAAGGAGGAAGGCUUUUUGGUCGUAAACUUCUUUUUUAUAAGAAUAUGUAUUAUAUGAAUAAGGAUCGGCUAACUCCGUGCCAGCCGCCGCGGUAAUAC
rnacentral:rRNA from 1 species